rnacentral:rRNA from 1 species
GAUGAACGCUGACAGAAUGCUUAACACAUGCAAGUCAACUUGAACUUCGGUUUGGGUGGCGGACGGGUGAGUAACGCGUAAAGAACUUGCCUCACAGCUAGGGACAACAUUUGGAAACGAAUGCUAAUACCUGAUAUUAUGAUUAUAUGGCAUCGUAUAAUUAUGAAAGCUAUAUGCGGUGUGAGAGAGCUUUGCGUCCCAUUAGCUAGUUGGAGGGGUAACAGCUCACCAAGGCGAUGAUGGGUAGCCGGCCUGAGAGGGUGAUCGGCCACAAUGGGGCAGAGAGACGGGCCCCACUCCCACGGGGGGGAGAGGUGGGGGAAAUUUUGGAAAAGGGGCAAGCCGGAUGAAGCGACAAUUCGUGGGGGAUGACGGAUUUUUUGUAGUAAAAAACUUUUUCUAGUGAGGAAGAAAAAAUGACGGGAACCAGAAAAGAAGGAACGGCUAAAAACGUG